rnacentral:sRNA from 1 species
GAGAUGAUUGAAUUAUGCUGCUCUCAUGAUAGUGAAUGGGUCUCAUGAGAUCUGAUGGUUUUGAAAGUGGGAGUUACCUUGCACGAGCUCUCUUUUUGCCUGCUGCCAUCCACAUAAGAUGUGAUUUGCUCUUCCUUGCCUUCCACCAUGAUUGUGAGGCCUUCCCAGCCAUGUGGAAAUGGUCCAACCUGCAAUAACUGAAGCCCCAGACCUGGAACCUGAAGAUACCAUCAGCCACUAAACCUGUGAACCUGUGGAAGACCUAAAGUACCUGUUUAAAAGGCAGCCAAAAGAUAAGUAAAUUCCUAUCAACUUUCCUUGGUGUCCUUCUUGUAUAUUUACUGUAAGCUGGAUAUAAUAGCAGCCAUUUUUGUAUUUUUACAAUUUAAUUGCUUUCUUCCAAAUGGAUUGAAUCACUUCUUUUAAAGUGUUUUCAUUAAUUUUUUAUCUAUAGAACAAAAUAACAAAUAAGUAUAUUUUUUAUACCAUAAUGGUCACCCACAGCCUGUGUAUACUAAGACCAUGCAUACUGAGAAUCAGCUUUAUUUUACAAAAGAGUUUCACUUUACCCCUCUGGUAAUUAAUGGAUUCUGAGUAUUUAUUAAAAACUUUAACACAAAGACUGU